UACAGCCAUAACACAUUGAAAGACUGGUUCCAGUAUGAUCACUGAAGUUAAGCAACAUUGAACCUGAUCAUUACCUAGAUGGGUAGCCUCUUGGGAAUACCAGGUGCAGUAAG